rnacentral:tRNA from 1 species
AAUAAGAUCAGCUAAAUCAAGCUUUUGGGCCCAUACCCCAAAAAUGAAGGUUAAAAUCCUCCUCUUAUAA